AGGCAUGGUGGCGGGCACCAGCUUCUUGGGAGGCGGAGUUUCAUAUAUAUAUAUUUUGAGACAGGGUCUCACUCUGUCACCCAGGCUGGAGUGCAGGGUUGUGAUCAUAGCUCACUGCAGCCUCAACCUCCUGGCCUCAAGCGAUCCUCCAGCCUUAGCCUCCGAAAGCAAUGGAAUUACAGGUGUGAGCCACCAUGCCCAGCUCUGGAACUCUUAAAAACUGAUGAGAAAAGGCAAGUUAAAAGGUCAGAGGAAUUAGAGUUUGUCAAGCCUCUGAGCCCAAGCUAAGCCAUCAUAUCCCCUGUGACCUGCAGGUAUACAUUGAGAUGGCCUGAAGCAACUGAAGAACCACAAAAGAAGUGAAAAUAGCCAAUUCCUGCCUUUACUGAUGACAUUCCACCAUCAUGAUUUGUUCCUGCCCCACCCUAAUUAACCAGUUGACCUUGUGACAUUCCUUCUCCUGGACAGUGAAUCUCAGGAGCUCCCCACUGAGCACCUUAUGACCUGCCCCUGCCUGCAAGAGAAAAAACCCCUUUAACUGUCAUUUUCCACUACCUACCCAAAUCCUAUAAAACUGCCCCACCCCUCUCUCCCUUUGCUGACUCCCUUUUCGGACUUGGUCUGCCUCCACCCAGGUGAUUAAAAAGCUUU
rnacentral:lncRNA from 1 species